UGGGGAAUAUUGGACAAUGGGCGCAAGCCUGAUCCAGCCAUGCCGCGUGAGUGAUGAAGGCCUUAGGGUUGUAAAGCUCUUUCACCGGAGAAGAUAAUGACGGUAUCCGGAGAAGAAGCCCCGGCUAACUUCGUGCCAGCAGCCGCGGUAAUACGAAGGGGGCUAGCGUUGUUCGGAAUUACUGGGCGUAAAGCGCACGUAGGCGGGCAUUUAAGUCAGGGGUGAAAUCCCAGAGCUCAACUCUGGAACUGCCUUUGAUACUGGGUGUCUUGAGUAUGGAAGAGGUGAGUGGAAUUCCGAGUGUAGAGGUGAAAUUCGUAGAUAUUCGGAGGAACACCAGUGGCGAAGGCGGCUCACUGGUCCAUUACUGACGCUGAGGUGCGAAAGCGUGGGGAGCAAACAGG
rnacentral:rRNA from 2 species